AAAAAAAAAAGAAAGAAAGAAAAACUUCAGAGGAAUUAUAACCCAGUGGAGGACCUGAAAUACCUGUUCAGGAAAGAAAACUAUGCAGGAGGAGAUCAAAGGCUGAGGAAAGACAGCUACCCCUUAUGACCCUAGAGAUGAAGAGAGGAACAAAAGAGUAUCUAUCCCACCAUGUCAUAAAAUUCCAUUCCAAGUUAACCCUUCUAAUGCCCCAUCCCAGCAGGAGCACUGCUUGACUGAGGUUAUUGUCUUGGAGCUCUCCCUAGGAGAUAAGGACUCCGACCCUGAGAUAACAACAAGGGUUUGAAGCUCACCAGUCCACCAACUGCAGACCCAUAAUGCCAAAACACCCAGUUCGUCAUGGGACCCUGACAUCUGACUCAGACCCUCUGCUGAUCCUGUGACCAGCUUCCCCUUUAUGUGCAGGACAAAACCCUCACCUCACCUUCCUGCCUCUUCUCCUUUAUAAACCCAAGAACAUUCAUCAAAAAGGGGAUGAUUUUAGCCUGGUCAGCCCGCAGAUGCCGGUUAUCUGAAUGACACUUCUAAUCCUUGCACCAACUUUUGGACUUUGAGGUAAUUUGUUUAACGUGAGAGGGCAGCUGAGCCUGUUGACAGUAACAUUUGGAGGUGGCAUUAUGUUUGUUUGUCCCAUUCUGCUGAUUCUCUGGCCUGUGCCAUAAAAACUGCAGUCUGUUCCCAACACACGCUGCCCCUUCCAUUGGUCUCCAGUCCGCAGCACUCUGGAGCUGAAACUUUGAGGAAAAGCCAGUGACUUAAUUCCAGAGUGCUUCAGCGAGGGGAACUUCUCUGUAAAGAACCCUGAGUACUGAGUAAAAAUGUUAUUAAUAUUAUUAAUGACCUACAAUUGGAAGC